rnacentral:rRNA from 1 species
GUCCACGCCCUAAACGAUGAUUACUCGAAGUGUGCGAUACACUGCACGCCUCUGAGCGAAAGCAUUAAGUAAUCCACCUGGGAAGUACGGUCGCAAGACUGAAACUCAAAGGAAUUGACGGGGGCCCGCACAAGCGGAGGAGCAUGUGGUUUAAUUCGAUGAUACGCGAGGAACCUUACCUGGGCUUGAAAGUUAGUGAAUGCCGUAGAAACAUGGCAGCAAGCAAUUGCACGAAACUAGGUGCUGCAUGGCUGUCGU